CUUCUUCCAAUGUGUCAAUCUUGUCUCUUCUGAUCUCUAAUAAUGAAAAUCUUGAUCUCGGAGCUAAGCUUCCACAAUUUUUGUUCCUGUGUUCAAUUUCAGUACUAUCUGAAGCUCUCAUCGUCCUCAUUCUUUCAACAUACCUUGGAGAUGCAGAUCCAUGCUCCUAUUGUCUAGAUCCCAGUAUCUUCUUGACCCUCAAGAUCUGUUUCUCCGACCGUCAUUCGAGUAAGUAUUUUAUAGAUCGCCUUCUUUGUGCUUUAAUGACUCUUUGAGGAAUAAAAGUUCCUAGAUCUCUUGCAUUCCAUUUCCGACUCCUGUUAUCUCUAUAGCACAUCGAGAUAUGAUUCUCCAAUUAUGUUCAUUUCUCUUUUUGCAAUUGCUUUGUAGCUCUACCAGUUGUGACCUUUGUUAAACCUGAUUUACUAUUUUCUCCGUUCAUUUUUAAUUGUUUAGAAUUUACUUUCAAGGACGACAGUGAGAAGUUAGUGAGAUUUAUGGCCUAUAAAGAUGGAGAGUGGGUGAGUUUCGAUAAAAAAUGUAGCAGAUGUGCUAAUAUCAACUUUCGUAAAUGGCAGAUCCAUGAUUAAGGUGGAAAUAGAAGGGUUUUAAUUAAUUUUUAAUUUUUAUUGCAUUUUAGGAAUUGAUUUGGACAUUGGAAUAUAGCGGUCCUCUCUUGGUUUGAUGUCAAUGGUAAGUCUUUUUCCCCUAAAGUAUUCAUUGAGAAUUCAGAAAAUCUCAAUAAAAACUAGGAAAAUAUUGAUGAAAAAUUUUUCCUCGAAGAAUCAUAAGGUUGAAUUUGAGAUAAGAAUCAUUGAGAAGAACUCAACUGGAGAACAAUUAAGGAAAAAGGAAGAAGGUACGUGAGCAAGAAAAAGUGGAAAAGGGAAGAAGGUAGUUCAUCUAAUUUGACAAUAUGCCGCUCUUUCAAAUUAGAUGAACUGCCUUCUUAUCUUUUCCACAUUUUCUUGCUCACUGUCCAUCUUCUCUUUUCCACAUUUUCUUGCUCACCGUCCUUCUUCCCUUUUCCACCUUUUCUUGUUUACUUUCGUUCUUCCUUUUUCCUAAUUAUUCCCUAGUUGAGUUCUUCUUAACGAUUCUAAUAUCAAGUUCAACCUUGCGAUUCUUCAGGAAGAAACUUUUAUUAAUAUUUUUUUGUAUUUAUCGAAUUUUUCAGAACCCUCAAUGACGACUUUAGGAAAAAAGCACUUACCAUUGAUAUUGAUCCAAAAGAAAGACCGCUUUGUCCCAGCGUUCUAAUCAAUUCCUAUCGUGCGACAAAAAUUCAAAAUUAAUUUAAACCCUUCCGUUUCCACCUCAAUCGUAGGCUUUCCACUUGUGAAAACUGAUACCAGCACAUCCAUGACAUUUUCUCGAAUUUCACCCACCCUUCAUCGUUAAAGAUCAUAAACCUUACCGGUUUUCCACUCUUGUUGAAAGUCAAAUACUAAAACAAUUAAAGAUGGACUGUGAAAGUAGUAAAUCUAUUUAACAACUGGUGUUAUUUUUUUCGUGGAUAAAGGAGAGAAUUUUUCCAUUAUGAGACUAUGACAUGCUUAAGGUAAAAAGUCCAAUGCUUAAAUGCUGGCGUAAUUUGGGGACAUCAAACAUAUCUCCUUGCCAUAAAAUUUAUUAAAUGAGCAUCCUUAUUAAAUGCGCAGAAUUAUGUGUCCUACUUUUUUUCUUCUUACUAAAAUCUGAUGAUAGAUUUUUUUUUUUUUCUCUUUACUUGUCGCAAUUGACUUGUUUUCUGUGUCACCUUCAAAACGUGUGAGAAUGAUAUUCUUUUCCCAACUCCUGAAAGUUUGAAGUCAUGUAAAACUAACUCUAUUACUAACUAACAGUACGUGAAUAUGAUGUUUCCUUGACCAAAAACUAAAAAGAACAUGAUGUUUCAUGUACUAAAGAAGAAUUUCAUUUGACAUUCUACCUUUUAGACAGUUUGUCAUUUAUUACUUUCUCCGUCCCAUUUUAUGUGUCAUCCUUUGACUUGACAUGAUGUUCAAGAAAAAAAGAAAAAACUUUGAAAACUUGGGGUCUAAACUUUUCAUAAAUAUUUGUGUGGCUAUAAAUUACUGUCUGGUCCAAAAUAAUUGUCAUAUUUCGUUUCUCAAAAGUCGAUUUAACUUAUUUUCAAAAAUAAAUUCAAUUCAAUUAAUUUAAUAUUUUAAAAUUAAAAUUUAAAUAUUCAAAAACUAUAUGAAAAGUAUUAUAAGUUGCAAUUUUUCCUUUUUCAAUAUAAUUAAAAAGAAUACAUCUUAAAAUGUUAGUCAAAUUUUAUGUCGAUUCACUCUAAAAUAGAAAAUUAUUGUUUCUAAUUUUACUAAAAUGACAUUAUUAUUGUUUCUAAUUUUACUAAAAUGACAUUCUUUUGGGACAAGCUAAAAGAAAAAAAUAUAUGUGAAAUUGAAAUUAUUUCCCACAAAAGAGUAUCAUUUCCUUGGAUACAUCGAACGAAAGGGGCAAAAAUUGUGGUAAAUUAGUUAGGAAAAAUUACCGAAAGUGACAAAUUUAAGACCAUAAUUAUAAUAAAUAGCAACAUUUUUAAAAAAUUGCAUUUUAUAGCAAAAAUAGCAUUUUUUUUUGUUCAUUAACUCAACACAUGCAUGUUUCACUCUUUCUUUCCUAUUUUCACUCCAUUAUUUUACCUCUUUCUAAUUUACCCAAAAAACAAAUUUCACAAAAAUCAUCUCUUUCUUUUUUCUUUUCACACAGAUUAGUAGAUUCCUAAAUUAGUAGAUUCUUUUUUCAUAAAUUAUUCUUAUUUAAAUUAGUAAAUUCCUUUUUUCAAAUCUAACUCAAAUCUGAAGAUUAUUUUCUUCAAAAUAAAGCAUCAUCAUUGUUUUUUUCUCUCUUAUAUAUCUAACUUUUUUUCUUGUUAGUUUUUUUUCAUCUUCUUUUUUUAUCGUUUUAUUUUUUUUAUUUUGAUUUCUUUUUCUUUUUCAUUUCAUUUUAUUUUCUCUCUUCUAUUUCUCUUCUUUUUUUCUUUUUCAUUUUUCUUUAUUUUUUUCAUUUUCUUUUUUUUUCCUUUCUCAUAUUUUUUCUUUUCCUAUUUUCAUUUUCUUCUUCUUUUUUUCAAUUUUAUUUUUUUAUUUUUUAUUUUCUCUUUUAUUUUUACACUUCUAUUUUUCUUUCUUCUUUUUUUCCCCCUUUUCACUUCUUUUUUCGGAUGCAUCAUUUUGAAAUUUAAGAAAAAAAUAUUAAUAAUGCUUUAUUUUGAAGAUAUUUGUAUUUUUAUUAGCUUAUAGGUCAUGAGAGGUACGUGUAUUUUUUAUACACAUAUAAUUAUGUUGAUAUAUUUUUUUAGAGGGCAAGAUAUAUAGUUUGUUAGUAUUUUUUAAUGUUCAUGAUAUGUAUUAUGUAUUUUUUUAAUUUAGUUAUAUGUAAAUGUAUAUAGUAAUAGUUGUUACUGUUUAAGAUGUGCAUUUGUAUUUAUUGUUUUAUAUGAGUCACAUUUGUAUUUCGCAAAUACAUAUGAAGAUAUAUAUUAUGGUUAUAUUUGUUAAUGUUUGAUAUGAAUCUGAUAUGUAUUUCGUAAAUACAUAUCAGAGUGAUAUUUGUAUUUUUUAUAUGAUAAUAUACAUAUGAAUCAGGCAUAUAUCUGUAAAUACAUAUGCAGAGCUAUAUAUAUUUUUUGUAAUGUAAUAUUUAUUAUGUAAAAGAAAACAUAUGCAUACUAUGUAUCUCGUAAUUUUUUUUUAAAAAAAGUACACGUAAUAUAGAUUUAUGUCAUUAUUUUGUUCUAUGGGUGCCGCGUGAUCAUAUAUUCACGGCAAGAGUACUUUCAAGGUUUGCACCACAUAUAGGAUGUCACGCAGUCAUUAAUGAUAUUGGAGAACGUAUUAAAGUAAUGUUAUCGAAGGAGUAGUACAAGAAGUUUUUGUCAUAUGAAUAUUUGUGGUGUCUACGUGAAGAAGAAGAAAUAUGUAGUUCAAGCGCAAUUAGACAAAUAUAUUAUUUCACAAAUGUAUUAUAAUUUUUUUGGGGCAUGUGCAUGUAUUUGUAUUUGUAUUUUAUAUAUACAUAUGCAUUUUUGUACAGUAUUCGAUUUGUUUUUGAACUAUUCUAUGUCAUUUUAGAGGGUAUCAUAUGUACUUAUUUGUAUCUUUUAUUGUUUAAGAUAUGUAUCAUGUAUUUUUUUUUUAUUACUUAUAGGUAUAUGUAUAUAGUUGUCUUUUUGUGAUAGAGAUUUUGUAUUUUAUAUGUUUAUAUACAUAUGAGUCAGAUAUAUAUUUCUGUAAAUACAUAUGGAGAUAUAUAUGUAUGUUUUGUAUUGUAAACACACAUGCAGAUUUGUAUGUCUAUUUAUUUUGUACAUAUUUUUGAAUAUGUAUAAGUGAUAAAGAUAUUCGUCUUUUAAAAAUAAAAGAGAGAGAUAGAAAAAUAAAAAAUGAAAAAUAAAUUAAAAAAAUAGAAAAGAAAAAAUGAAAAAGAAAAAUCCAAAAACAAGAAGGAAAAAAGAAAAAAAAAAGAAAUAGAAUCUAGAAAUAGAAGUUUAAAAAUAAAAGCAAAAAAAAUAAAAAUAGAAACAAAGAAGAAAAAAUGAAAAUAAGAAAAGGAAAAGAUAUGAGAAAGGAAAAAAAAUUAGAAAACAAAAAAAAAAUAAAGGAAAAAAAUGAAAGAAAAACAAAAGAAAUAGAAGAGAGAAAAUAAAGUGGAAUGAAAAAAAAAAGAAAUCAAAAUAAAAAAAAUAAAGCGAUAAAAAAAAAGAUGAAAAUAAACUAACAUUCCUCAAAAACACAUUCCAUCCUUCCCAAAACUCAAAGAGAGAAUUCAAUUAGGGUUCAAAUUUCAAGGUCAAGGAUUUAAGCUUUUCUCAGUCUCUUUCCAUCAAAAAGACAUGUUGAACACUCCUACUUCAAUAAUUUAAAAUGUGAAUUUAAUUAUUAUUUAUGUAUAUUCUGUUGAUGGUUUGAAGCUAGGUUGAGGAUUUUGUUAUAAAAAGCUUGAUAUGAAAUUCCCUUUCUUUAUGAAAAUAAAGGAGUUUUAAUGUUUAUUUGGGGGGGUUUUGAGACUAGAAUAGUUAUUUGAAAAUGAUAGAAUCCUUGUUUCUUGAAAUUGAAUGUUAAAUGUAUGAUUUAAGUUGGGAUUUUAGGUCUCUUGAAAGAUUUGAGUUGCAUAAGAAAUAUAAAUAUUUUUUCUGACCUUUGUAUUAUUAAAUGAAUGGUGUUAUGAGAAUGCUUUUAAAUGAUUAUGGAAAGCUCAAUUAUGAUUAUGCACAUAAUUUUGAAGACUUAAAUGUGUAAUGAUAAUGAUGUUGACAUGAUAUGUGUGACUUGAAGAGAAAACUCCCAGGACCUACUAAGAAUGGAACAUGCUCCAUUCAUCUUACACUUAGUAGGAUUUUCAAGUACGUUCACAAAAAAUAGGAUGAACUCGAGAGAUUUUAAUAUAUCCCUUUCCUACAUCAAAGCAUAUCUAGUCAAGGUACAUCUAAAUCAUAAAUUCUAUACAUGUUCUUGUCCGAAAAAGAAAGAUCCCUUGAGAGUGCUUCCCCUAAAUGAGGAAAUUUGUAACAUGUCCAUGUUUAUACAUGGACUUGACUUUUUCUUUAGCCUCUCGGCUUCGAGAAGCCGUGGGCCCAGUAGUGCUUUCUUAAAGCCUGUAACCCGCUCAACGUAAGAACCGAUCUCAAGCUGGAUGAGAAGGGAAAUAAAGACUAGUGAGAAUAGCCGUAAUUCAACUAGGCCUUGAAUCAGUGAUUUACAGAGACAAUUAGUCAUCUGCUUACGGCUAAUCUGCUCUUCGAAUCGUCAUCCUCUAAUGUCUUCAGUAAUCUUGAAAUUUGGAAUGUAUACUGAAUUGUACUAUUGUCUUGAAGUCCCCACUUAUCAAGCGUGUACACAACACCAUUACUUUCUUUGAGAUUGUCUUGAAUGUUGUCUAUGAUGUCCCAUAAGGUUCAAGAUGGGUUAGCUUUAUUCCUGCUCCUGUCUAUCACUAAUUUGGAGUCACAUUCAAUUUCAGUUUCUUGAUUACCUUUGGAACACCCAUCAGAGCUAAGCUUCACAAAUCCUAGCCCUCGAUAGUUCCAUUUAACUACAGUAGAAACCAGAAACUGACUGAUAUUUAGCAUGAUCCAUCAAAAUCCUAAAACAUUCCCAGCUCAAGAAAAGGGAGAUAAAAGGGAACUUCUGAAAGUAUUUUUAAUAAAUGGUUAGAAUGCAAAGUCAAAACCUAAAGUUUCUUUAAGCUUAUCCAAAAAAGAGAAGUUCAAUUACAUUUACAAGAUACGCUGUGAGAAAAUGUAACUUAUUAAUUCUUUUGUAACUAUGUGUGUUCAAUUCUCCUUGAACGUAAGAAUUCAUUUGAUGAGUUAGUUCUUGAUAAGUUAAUUCAUUCCUUGAACGGAUGAAUUCAUUUGGUGAGGAGUUAAUUCAUUCAAUUCACCAUUAACUCACUCUUGUGACAUCCUUUGUUCUUCACCUAUAUAAACCACUCUAUUUGAGAACAAAAGAUACAUCACCAACAAAGUAAAAGAAAAAUAUCUUCCUCCUAAGUUCUCUACUUUUGGGCAAUAGUUUUGAAACCUCCAAACUUCCAGCCACGAGUGCAUGUGUUUGGAAGUAGCUGUGGAACCUUGGGGAGUGACCGGCUAGAAGGAUUUGCACUAACCGAAAUCGCUUUCAAGACAGUGACUUGCCACGACACAGUAUUUGUGACUAUUUUAUUAUAAUUAUUAAUUUCAGUUCCAUAUCAAUAUUAUAGUACUUUUUUCAACAACUUCAUAUGAGGAAUCAAAAUAAGUUGUUGGCGAGUUAGUUGAAUGAUUUUGUUGGAAUCCAUGACAAUCUUUUCAUAUCUACUCUUGCACCUGGCCUUCAAUUUUUGCCAAAUAAUGAUUGUCGGCAUACAUUGAAGAGCUAAUGUACCAAAAUGUCAUUUAAUCUUGUGAUUUUAAGUAUGUCAUAUGGAUAGUUAGAUUUAAAGAGUUGCUAGAAAUAGAUAAAAGGACAUUCACUUUUAAACAAACCAAAAAGAAAAAUAAGACAAACAAAAUGAAACGAAGGAAAUAUUAAUUUGUGAGUGUUGUUUCUUUUUGAGAGAUGGAUAUAGUAAUGGUAUCAAAAGUAACUUAUCUUUAUUUCUACCUUGUAUAUUAUUGUAAGAGGUGAUUGUGAUGUCAUUCUAUGUAACUGAUGUAUUCGUAAUUGGGUAACUUAAUAGAAGUGCAGGAAAAAAAAAUAUAUGUCGCUAAGUGUUUUUAUGUAGCAUGUUGCCACACUAAGUUGAUUACAUGAAAAAUAAGAUUUACAGUAGUUUUUUUUUGUUUUUCAUCCGGUGUUCGGUACCCGCAUUGGUGUUCGAUUAAUCNNNNNNNNNNNNNNNGUGUAAGGCCCAUUCGGGGGGAAGCGCUCCCUACCAAGGAUUUUUCCAUACUCAGGGCUCGAAUCCGAAACCUGUUCUAGUUAAGGGAGGAGCAGCCCCAUCCGCUGCACCACAUCCUUUGGUGGUAGAUUUACGGUAGUUAUACCAAUUUAGAUCGUUUCUUGGCCAUCAUAACUGGAAAAAAACUUUCAGGAGAAAUAACUUUUUUCACUGUAGUUAGUUACUAUUACAUUAAACAUCAAAUACAUGUUUAUAAGCGAAACAACUUCAUUUUGGUCAUCUAUUUUGAUGCUCUUGUCUUUUGAGUUUUUGGCAAGACUGAGAAUAUUUUUCAAAGCGUAUCUAUCUUUUGAAGUUAUUUUCCAAUGAAAUUUUUUCAGUAUUAUUUUCUUGAAAAAUAAUGUUUAUUUAAAAAAUUACUAUAAUGCAAUAACUUAUAUAGUUUUUUGAUAAACAAUUUGAGUACUAAAGAUUGAUGAUAUUAUUUUUGAUGGUGGGAAUUUCAUGACACAAGUUUUUCAGUUCAAUUAUUUAUGAAGAAGUUCUUUUAUAUCUUUCUUUUCUAAUUUUUUUUAUUUUGAGUUAUAUAUCGCGGGAUUUCUAAAAAGAAAAUCUCCAAAUGGGUGAUUUUUUUUUCAUUACUAGAUAAUUAUGUUAAAAUUUCCCUUGGAAACUUUCGAAAAGAUUAGAAUUCCUUGACAACUUUUAAACGCUAUUCAAGACACAAAGAAGCUGAUAAUUUAAUUGGUCAUUGUCGUACGACACUGCGCGUUAGUGGAAAAAAUCAAAUUGCAUUUAGCAGAGGGAACGAUAAAAAAUUUCUCAAUCUUGGUCCAUACAGGGGAUGCAGGGACGGUGCAUUUUAAUAUUAUAAUAUAUUAUAUGAUUAAAUUGAAUUAUCAAAGAGUAUUUUUGGCUGCUGCGCUUCUUCUUUUAACAUUAGUGCCUCAUUAGCCAAUAUUACAUAUGAUUAAUUUGUUAGGAUUUCUAUCAUGAUUUUCUUAUCAAAUUUAAGUUUUACUUUUUUAAAAAGAAAAUAAAAGUAAUAUCAUUAUUACUUUUAAUUUUUCUAAAAGAAAUAUAAAACUCUUCCAUAUUUGGUUAAUCUCUUUCUUGUAGAAAAACUUUUGAAUCUCUAUAAAUAGAAGACUCUUUUUCUCAUGCCAUAACACAAUACUAUCCACUAUGUAGGUAUUUUAAGAGUCUUGUUUAGAGGGAGAUCGUUUUUCGCUCAAAUAACUUUUAUAUUUUUAUUUAGUUUUUAAUAUGUAAGUCAAUCGGCCGAAUCAUAUCAAUAAUAUUAUGUUUUUUAAUUUAAUUUUGUGUUGGUUGAAUUGUUGCCUCUGUGUUUUACAAAUUAUUAGUUUUCGCAUGAUAUCCUCUCAAUUUCGAAUCCUAACUCAUUCUUGGCGGUAAUGCACCUAUGCGUGCAUGCCUUAUUGGUGCGGCAACUUAACCCACAUUCUUAAUGACAUUAUGUGUCAAUUAAGCUCAUUACUUGUUGAAUGUGACCUUUAAUUCUAGUAACUUAUCUGGUUAUUUGUUCUUGUAAUUUUCAUAGUCAUUAGUUACUUGUAACUCGUGUAGGCGUCUAAGUCACUCAUCUACCAACAUUACUGCCCCACGUUCUUCUAAUUAAUACAAGGAAGACUUUUUCACCUAUAAAUGGUGGUGGUCUUACUUUGUGUUUCAAUAGAUAAAAAUAGAGAAAUGAAAGAGAAGUAUUAUAUUGUGUUUUAUAUCAGUGUAGUGAAAGAAAGAGUAGACACAAAUAAAAAUAUUCUAAGUCUUUAACUAUAUUCAUUAUACAAAAAAGAGUAUUAUAUGUUGAAGGAAGGUGUUCUUUUGGUGGAGUUUUAGACUUUUCAACUAAUUUGAAGUUGCUUGAGUUAUGAUGUUGAUGGGUUGUUGUAUCCUGGAGGAGACAAGUCAAGAGAUACGUUAUUGGAUCGGUGUUGAUUAUGCUACAGUGGACUUGAACCUUUUUACAAUUUCGGGAGUCCCAAAUAUACCCAAAUUUUGAUUAAAAUUGUUAUAUCACGCCUCAACUCUAUUGGGUCACAUCACCCACCUUGGACUAUUUUAAAGUGGAAUAUACGCCCUUAUAUGUUGAUGUGGCAGAGAGAGUAAUAUAUGUUUUUCUUGAGAGAUUGAGAAGUACUCAUAUUCCUAUUUUUAUUUAUUUUUAUCUCUCUCUAAUUACCAAAAUGCCACAAACUUGUUCUCUUCCAGUUCAUCUCUUCCAUUAGAUUUAACACUCACACAAUAACAAUGGCUACCACUACAUCCGUCAUUUUCACCCUUAUAAAGCUCUACAAAUCAUCCACCUGUUCAAAUCCUAUGUUUCUUAUUUUAAUCUCUUUCUUUCAUCACCUUAAUUGAAGCUACUUACAUCAACACUUCUCCAUUGUUGUCAUUAUCACUACUAUUACUGAGCCAUCAAAAAUUAAUUAACUAACUAGUAAUUUAAAUUGAAUCACCCAAAUGCUCCACUUAGCAAAGAAAUAACUCAGUUGAAUAAGAAAAUAGAGAUUAGAAAAUCAAAAUCUUUGACGAAAAAUUUCUUGAACUCUCGUCGGCAUCAUCUCAUCAUUGGUUCUACUUUCGUUGCAGCCGUCAUUGAAAUAAAAAAAGUUCCAACAAUAACAAAAAUAAUCAAAUAAAACGAAACUCUAAUUUUUUCUACGAGAAAUUAAAAUAUCCUUUUGAUGAUUCUUCUCGUUUUUUUAUAUCUUUUCCUUGUGUUUUUUUAUGCUACUCUAUUAAUUUCUGUAAAUACUGAAGAAGACAAAUGAAAUAGUCAAGUCCAUAAAUUUUAUAAGAAAUUGAAAGGUGAAAGAAAUAAAGUAAAAGAAGAAAAAGGUGAGGAUAAGAGUCAUGACUUCUUAACACAAUAGGGGUGUUAGUGCAUGUCUUUCACCAUUUAGCACAAAUUUGGGUGAGAAUUUUUAAUGAGGUGUGUGUUCCACUUUAAAAUAAUUCGAGGGGUCAUGGAGGGAAAGUUAUAGGACCCCCUUAAAGUUGAGGCGUGUUACAAUAAUGUUGUCAAACUUUAGGUAUAUUUCAGACUUUUUUUUCCUUUUAAUUCUAUUAGUUGACUGAAUUCUCUUUUUUUAGCUAGCUGCAAAAGAAAACAAUGUGAGUUCAAUAAACAUUAUUUGAUUCUAGCUCAAGUAUUUGUUUAAUAGAUAGUGUUGAAACCUUUGGGAGUUGCUCCACACAGUAAGGGACUAGGUCCCUCAGAAACAAUCAUAGUUAAUCAAGCAAUAGACAAAAGGAUUUUUACGUGGAAAUCUAGGAUAAAAAAACACAACUUGCCCUCAUAAGUACCAAAGAAAUCCACUAUAAUCAACCUCUUGAUUACAGUCUAGAUUUUAUCCUAACUCUAGGCUCCUUACACUAGUAGCAACUCUACUACAAACUCAUCUUGGUAACUCUACCAAGGACUCUCUCUACACUGACUAGCUCUAAUCAGUGUUAAACUUAGGUAGCUCUACCUAACCACUCAUCUCAACAAAUGAAAGCACUACUCUUAUAAGAUGAGUAGUUCAGUUAAAAAUCAAAGCUCACUCAAGAAUUUAAGCUCACAUAGACAGCUAAGAACUUGAGUAAUGUUGAAAUGGAAUUUUUGUUGCCUCUCUUCACUCUUUAGAAUUGCAAAAAAUCAUUUGUAGAAGAGGCAUAUCUUUCCUUUUAUAGUUGGGUGAUGAUUAGGACUGAAAUAUCAGUGGACCAGCUAUCCAAGUUAAUACAAAGUAGCACCUGCAAGUUCGUUACACAAGAGGAAAAAGCUGUGCACAUACCGUGUGCCAGUUGUACUGUACUUUGCACGUCCAGGGACCUGAUCCCUUGCAUUUUAGUUGCUCAUCAUGAAAACUUCAUAUAGCAAUUUUCCCCCUUUUUAUGAUGACAAACCAAACCAUAAAAUUUGAGAAUGAGUGCACACUCAUCACAUUUAAUUAGAGUAACUACCACCUGAAGAUGAAUAUUCCCCCUAUCAUCAUGCUUCUUCUUUCAUGAAGCAACACAGGGACAUGAUCCCUUGUUGUCCUUUGCAGCAAAAACUGCAAUUACUUCUCUCAUGUCAUUGUGCCUUAUCAUUCACACUUGGCACAUCACUUUUUCCCCCUUUUUUAUACAUAUUUCAGCACAUCAUUCAGCACGUCACAUACUUUUCCCUAUCAGCAUGCCACUCAAAUCUACAACAACCUACAGCUCAAUUCACCUAGUACCCUACUUUGUGAACUCGGUAUUCCCCCUUUUAGCAUCAUUAAAAAGUAUGAAUAGUAAACUAAGAGUAAAUUAAGUACAAAUUAGUUAACUCUUGGUCACUGGGGCAACACUAACAUGAAGAAUAGCUUUGCACUUUAAAGAGAACAAAUGUUACACAGAAAGAAAAAAAUUCAAUCACUCAUAAUAGUCAGUACCAGUACAGUAAGCUAAAAUAAUCAUCAUAAGAUAAUGUCUUUAAAAGACAUUAGGAAAAUCAAGAUAUGAAACUGACAGAACGUUGAUGAAGAAAUGAGGAUAAUAGGGUUCAAUUUGAGGGAGGGUUGGAUGAAAGGACUUAAAUAGUAUCUUUAUUCUCGCAUUUUCAGCAAUGUGAGCAUCCAACAUCUAUUUGGUAAGGUCCUUCACUUUAUCCUUUAGGUUGGCCAUUCUUGCCUGGAGUUUUGCAUUUUCAGCUGCAGGUUCAGCAAUGACACGUGGUCCUUCAUAGGACAACCUUUGAUUCAACAAUGUUAAAUGUAUUUGUUGAAUAAUAAAAUUCUCGAGGCCGAAAAUAAAUAAUCGAGACAAGAAAAAUACUACAACAAUUGAUUUUAUUGAUUUCAAUAAGUGAGUGUUACAAUCUCUAUGAAUCCUCUGAUUCACCUUUUCAAAUAUAAAUUCAAGGGCUUAAAGCUUGAUCUUGAAUUUGAACUUGAUUUGAAUGCUUUGAGGGACUUGAUCUUGACUUGUGCUUGAAUUCAAGGGCUUUUGAGCUUGUUGUUGAAUAAUGCGGUCUUGAUCUUUGAUCUUGAUUUGAAUACUUGAGCUUUUUAGAGAAAUUAUGGCGUUUGAUCCACGAGCUUUCUCUUGCUUCUUGUUAGAGUUCUGGGUGGAGUUUUUUUUUCUGAAUUAUGAGACCCCUAUUUAUAGUUGUAGGAAAAGAAGAGUCAUGAUGAAUAUAAUACUUCCUUUGACCAAUCAGAUUUAAGUGAUGUGACGCCUUUUUAUGGACUUUUAUUCCAUAGGCCUGCUGCAUCAGUUUGACAUGUGGCAUGGUCUUAUUGGCUCCUUCACUUGACUUGGCAUGCCACGUCAUUUGACACGUGGCGCUUAUUUGGGCCUCUAGAAUAUGAUAAUAUCUUGGGCUUAUUAAAGUGAGUUCAUCAUUUGUAGCUCAAAUCAAUGGGCUAGCCCAAUAAAAAUUUGAUUUUAAUUAAAUCCAUAUAUGUUUGGACUUAAAUAAUUAAUCCAAUUAUAUUAAUCCACAAUAUUUAUUUGGGACUAAUAUAUUUUAAAUUUAAUAUAAUCCAAAUUUUGUAUGGAUUCAAAUUUAAUAAAAUUGCGUCGCCCACAAAUGCCCCCUGCUUCAAGGCUAGUCAAAAUAUUUAAAUGUUUGUAGACUAGGUUUGAAGCAUCAACGGACCAUAACAUUAAAUUUGGUGUGAAAAAAAAUGCAUUUAGCCAUAGCCAUGCAAUUCUUUUUCAUUUCACUUCAUUCAACUAUAUAUAUAUAUAUAUAUAUAAUGGAUGAAGUUAAAACAAUUCAAUCAUUGUCAAACCAUUUAUUGCCCAGGGAUUCCAUUUACUAUUAAUGGUUACCUCUUUAUUUCAUUUUAUUUUUUUAACUAAUAGUGGCAAAUGUUGCCAAGACCAUAUCUAUAUUUGACAUUAAUCCGUGGGCCCCAUGUCUCCCCUUUUUUUUUAGCAAAUACCAUCUUAAUGAUUUAAACAUCAUCUCUGAGCAGCCUUCUUUUAUUUUUCUUUCACCAUUUAACCAUAUUUAAAUAGGAAAUCCAUCAUGCCUUGAAGUUGUGAACUACCGCCGCCACAACAAACCAAAUUAAUGUAGGAUUCAGUUUUGUAUGUAGCCGUCUUUGACACUAAUUAGAUUAGUGGCCAAUUAUUCAAUUCUUCUUGGACUGGAACUGUUACAUUGAAUCCUAUCAAAUCAAGAUGUGGGCACCGCCCUUCUAUGCCUAUAUAGGAGGAUGCCUCUUAUUCUCUUAAGUCCUAACAUUAAUCUCGGAACAUCUUUCACGGAUUGCUUUGAAGUUAAUUUGUCGAUAUUAGUAACGACGUACUUUCUUUCUCUUUCUUUGUGAAUUUUACCAAUUACUUUUCUAUUUUUUAUUUUUUUUUAGUAUUGAAACAGAUAGCAAUACACAACAAUCGGCUUAGGGUGUGAGAGUUUAACUUCGCCUCCAUACACUCUAAGACCGACCAAUUUGACUCCAAGAUGGUGGCUUUGCAACAAUCGGUUUAGGGUGCGAGAAUUUAACUUCGUCUCCGUACACUCUAAGACCGACCAAUUUGACUUCAAGAUGCUGACUUUCCAACAAUCGGCUUAGGGUGCGAGAGUUUAACUUUGCCUCCGUACACUCUAAGACCGACCAAUUUGACUGUAAGAUGCUCCCUUUACAUAACAAAUCCAUUAGAAUGCCAGCUUAAGGUGCAAAGGGACAAAUCUUGUCCACCUUAAGGCAUGAAAAUUUUUAUAUCCUUUUAAGGAUAAACACGUAAGAGGCUAGCUUAAGGUGCAAAGGGACAAAUUUUGUCCACCUUAAGGCAUGAAACUUUUGAGAUCCUUUUAAGGAUAAACCCGCGAGAGGCCAGCUUAAGGUGCAAAGGGACAAAUCUUGUCCACCUUAAGGCAUAGAACUUUUGAGAUCCUUUUAAGGAUAAACCCGCGAGAGGCCAGCUUAAGGUGCAAAGGGACAAAUUUUUGUCCACCUUAAGGCAUGAAACUUUUGAGAUCCUUUUAAGGAUAAACCCGCGAGAGGCCAGCUUAGGGUGCAAAGGGAAAAAUUUUAUCCACCUUAAGGCAUGGAAUUUUUGAGAUCCUUUUAAGGAUAAACCCGCGAGAGGCCAGCUUAAGGUGCAAAGGGACAAAUUUUGUACACCUUAAGGCAUGAAACUUUUGAGAUCUUUUAAAAAUAAACCCGUGAGAGGCCAGCUUAAGGUACAAAGGGAUAAAUUUUGUCCACCUUAAGGCAUGAAAAUUUCGAUAUCCUUUUAAGGAUAAAACCAUGAGAGGACAACUUAAGGUGCAAAGAGACAAAUCUUGUCCACCUUAAGGCAUGAAAAUGUCAAUAUCAUUUAAGGAUAAACUCGUAAGAGGUCAUCUUAAGGUGCAAAGGGACAAAUUUUUUCCACCUUAAAGCAUAAAAAUUUCAAUAUCCUUCAAGGAUAAUCCCAUUAGAGGUCAGCUUAAGGUGCAAAGAGACAAAUCUUGUCCACCUUAAUGAAGGAAAAUUUCAAAAUCCUUUAAGGAUAAACUCGUUAUAGGCCGCUUAAGGUGAAGAUGAACAAAUCUUGCCCACCUUAAGACAUGUAAAUUUUGAGAUCCUUCUAGUUGUAGGCUUGGAGAACUUUGGCAUUCCAAAUUCCAUUGAAGGAACUCUCUUUCUUUUCGAUGAGUUGCCCCCAUUGAGUCACAAAUAUUUAGAGUAAGUCCAAAAUUUAAUUAGAAUAGUUUCAUACUUGGUAUCCAUGUGGUAGAUACUACAGGAACAUAUUUUUAUUGACACUCAUGCAACUGAACUCAGAAUAAAAUUCCAAGUACCUACGCACCUCUGUAAAGAGGAUCAAGUCACAACGUAGUUUUGGGUGAGUAUUUUUUUUGUGUCCUAACUUUUGCCUAGGCCGCCUCUUUUGAGGUUUUCAACCUAGUUGACUUUCAUUUUUUUUAAGUCGUACACAGUUUAUAUCUUACGGGCUAGGAGAGGACAUGCAUUUUAUACUCAUUCCUUAAGGAGUGUACAUGUAGUUUAUACUCGUGCCUUAAGAAGUGUACAUGCAUUUUAUACUCGUGCCUUAAGGAGUGUACAUGUAGUUUAUACUCGUGCCUUAAGGAGUGUACAUGCAGUUUAUACUCGUGCCUAAGGAGUGUACAUGCAGUUUAUACUUGUGCCUUAAGGAGUGUCAUCUUCCUUCAAAGAUAGUACUUCUUCAAGAACUUGGCAUUAAUGGGGCCAACCCUCACACCAUCUACAUCGACAAGCUUGUAAGCAGCACUUGAAUAUGCCUCUUGUACGACAUAUGGUCCAUCCUACUUCGAGGUGAAUUUUCCCCCAGACUUAUGAGAAGUGAUAAUGGGUCUUUUUACUGCAAGGACUUGAUCUACAAUUUGGAAGCACCUCAAGUGAACCCUUUUGUUGAAAGAACGAGAUAACAGGGCUUGAUAGCAUUUAAGAUUUUGUUGAGCCUCCAUCCUCUACUCAUCAAGAGCUUCUAAAUCCGCAAGAUGGAACUUAGUAUUUUCUUCAUCGGUGAGCCCUUCUUGAAUAGCCAGUCUGAAAGAAGGUAUUUGACGCUCAAGUAGCAGGACUUAUUCAACUCUAAAAGCAAGUGAGUAUGGGGUUGCUUGCGUCGGUGUACGGUAAGUUGUCCUACACGCCCACAAAGCUUCUUCCAUUCGCUCAUUCCAGUCUCAUUUGGAUUUGAAGACAACUUUCUUCAAUAAGUUGCACAAAGUUUUAUUAAAGGCUUCAGCUAGACCGUUGGCGGCAGCAUGGUACAUAGAAGACUUGCGCUGCUUGAAGCCAAAGAGAUCACAAAUUUUGUUCAUCAGCUUGUUAUCAAAUAGCUUUCCAUUAUCUGUUAUUAUGUACUGUGGAAUUCCAAAGCGGUAGAUGAUAUUCACUCGGAUGAAGUUUACAACAUUUUUUUUCUUUACUUCCUUGAGAGCAACAGCUUCGGCCCACUUUGAGAAGUAAUUUGUCACGGCUAAGAUGUAUAAGUGCCUACCAGAAGAUUUUGGUAGUGGACCAACAACAUCCAUUCCCCAAGCAUUGAAUGGCCAAAAUGCUACAGUUGGGUAUAGUACUUCUGGAGGUUGAUGUAUGAAGUUUGCAUGGAAUUGGCAAGCUUUGCAUCUUAUAGCAUAGUCCAAGAAAUCUUUCACCAUCAUUGGCCAAUAAUAUCCCAUUUUUUUAAAGUGAAAAUGAAGCUUCGAUCCAGAUUGAUGCGAUUCACACACUCCCGAGUAUGCUUAUUGCAAAGCUUAAAUUGUUUAUUCCUCUCCCAGACACCGUAAGAGUAAUCCUUCAAAUGAUUUUCUGUACAGUGUGUCCUUAUAGUAAAGGAAGCGAGGUGCACGACGACGAAUGUCUGUCCUUCUCCUUGGUUCCUCUUAAAGUAUCUCAUAACAAAAGUAAUCAAUAAUAAGUUGUCGCCAAUCUUCUUUUUCAGCUUCAGAUACGGAAACAAGGUAUUCAACUUUAUUUUCUUCAUCUUCAGUUGUUGUGGUACUACCCAUUCUUGGAGGAUAGUGACUUGCGUCUGAUUUGGAAGAGUCAGGGGUAAGGCCAAAACAGCUAGGGCAUCAGCUUUCUUAUUUUCUCUCCUUGGCAUAUGUUGGAGGGUUACUUCUCCAAGCCACCCCAUCAACUUCUGUGCAUAAUCAUGAUAUGGUCGUAGCUCAGGCUUUCUGACUUCAUAGCUUCCCAAAAUCUGCUUGAUCACUAAUUAGGAGUCACCAAAGACUUGUAAUUGCAGUUGUUUCAUGUCAACUGUCAUCUCAAGUCCAAGAAUUAAAGCUUGAUAUUCAGCAACAUUAUUAGAGAAAUGAUUUAUUAGGGUAAAAGAGUAUGGGAUGACCUCUUCUUGUGGAGUGACAAACACCACACCGGCACCAGCUCCAUAUCAAUGUGCAACACCAUCAAAGUACAUCUUCCAUGGGGAUCUAACUUCAACAACCAUUGUAUCUUCAGCAGGGAAUUCAUCACCCAGCUCUCAGUCAUCAGGUAUUGGGUGAUCUACCAAGAAGUCAGCCAAUGCUUGUCCUUUACAGCCUUUUGGGGAAUGUACACAAUCUCAAACUGUUUAAAUUGAAGGUACCACCUUGCAAGUCGGUCAUUUAGGACUGGUUUUAACAUUACAAACUUGAUGGGAUUUUCCCUAGACACGAGACGGACAACAUGAGCUUGAAAGUAGUGUUUCAUCUUUUGGAUAGAGAAAGCCAAUACCAAACAUAACUUUUCAAUUGGAGAAUACUUCAUCUCAUUUGAUGUUAUCAUUCUGCUCAGAUAGUAAAGUGAUUUUUCUUUGCCUUCACUAUUUUCUUGAGCCAGUAGUGCUCCAACUGACCUCUCUUGUGCCGCGAUGUAGAGUAUCAAUGGCUUCCUAGGUAUGGGUGCCAUAAGAACUGGUGGCUUCAUUAAGUAUGAUUUAAUACUCUCAAAGGCAUUAUUACAAGCUUGGUCCCAUUCGAAGGGAGUGUCCUUCUUCAUGAGAUGACUAAAUGGUUGACAUUUUCCGGUCAGGUUUGAGACGAACCUCCUUAAUUAUGUAAGCCUUACUUGAAGGCUUUUUAGCUCAUGAAUAUUUUGAGGUUUGGGCAUCUUUCAAAUUGCAUCGACCUUGGCUUAAUCAAUUUUAAUUCCUCAGUAUCGCACAAUGAAGCCAAGAAACUUUCCUGAAGUAACUCCAAAGGCACACUUCAAUGGAUUCAUCCUAAGUUGAUAUCUUCAAAGUAAUUCAAGUACCAUUCUUAGGUCUUUUAAGUAGUCGUCUCUCUUUCUUGACUUCACCACUAGAUCAUCCACAUAGCAUUCAACAUUUUUAUGGAGCAGGCCAUCAAAGAUGUUCUGCAUAGCCCUUUGAUAAGUGGCGCCAGCAUUUUUCAAACCAAAAGGCAUCACCUUGUAGCAAUAAAUACCUUUGGGCGUACAAAAUGCAGUGAGAUCCUCAUCCUUUGGCGCUAUACGGAUUUUAUUGUAGUUGGAUGAACCAUCCAUGAAGGACAUUGACUCAUAACCAGUGGUGGCAUCAAUCAUUAACUCCGGUAUGGGGAUUCGAAAAUCAUCCUUAGGGUAUGCGUUGUUGAGAUCUCGAAAGUCAACACAAACUCAAAUUCGGCCAUAACACAAACUCAAAUUUAGCCAUUCUUCUUCUGUAUUGGGACAAUACUUGAAAUCCACGUGGGAUAUUUGACUUCACAGCUUCAAUGAGUUUGUUAACUUCAUUUUCGAUCAGUGGAACCAACUCCGGCCUAAAGCGUCUUUGGGCUUGCUUAACAGGACAGGCACCAUUCUUGACUGCCAACUGAUGGACUGCUACUUUUAGAUCUAAGCCAGGUAUUUCCUUAUAUCUCCAGUCAAAGACAUCCAUAUAUUCUUUGAGUAUGUCCAUAUAAGCAAUUUUCUCCUCCACUUCUAGAAAUGCACUCAGGUAAGUUGGUCUUGGUUCUUCAUCGGUUCCAAGAUUAGCUUUCUUCAAGGGAUCUAUUGUAGCCUUUACUCCUUCUUCAAGUUGCAAUGGAGCAUCUCCAGCAUCUUCCUCCUCUUGAGGAUCAUCAUUGUUGACGGAUUUAUGAUAACACCAAAAGGCAUCUUUUAUCUCUUCAUCAACCUUUAUUUGAGAUAAGAAAUCUUUCUCGUUCUGGGUCGUAACAUGAUAUGAGGAGCCAACACUCUCUUCAUCUUCUUCGCGUUGCUUGGUAUAAACCACAGUAUGCGCCUUUGCAUUUAGCACCUCAUUGCAUGAAACUACUAGUUCCAUCUGUUGCUUCAUUCUAGAAGGAAUCUGUAACACCCCGUAUUCAAGUACAUAUAUUGGCAUAUUCAAGUACGUGUAUUGGUCUUAUUUAUAUGGAAUUAAUUUUUUUUAUUUUAUUUAUACCGGAAUUUGCCCGUCGAUGGAACCAUGCGAAGGUUAUUGAAUAAGAUUUCCAACGAUAUAAAGAUUUUCAAAAACGGAUAGGUUUCGGAUAUAAUCAAGCACGUUCGAAAUUAUAAAACGGUGGCCGGGAUAUUGGGAAUAGUAAAUGUGCAAAAAAAUUUCCUGCACACAAACUACUGAGGCAGCCAAUUUUUUGGGUCAACUUUGAACGAUCAUAACUCCCUUAAUAUAAUGAAUUGGGAGAGCUGCGACCUAUGAAAACAAAGAUCUUUGAGUCUUAUUUCCAAUGCAAUUGGUUUCAUCCAAAUCCAAGGUCUGAGUAAGGAGUUAUACUCGUUUUACUACAGCCUCUCAAAACAGAUUUUUAGGGUCAACUUCAAAUGAGCAUAAAUCCUUGUACAGGACGAACUGGGUGGCCUACUUUAUAUGAAAUGAAAUACCUUUGAAUUAUCUUUCCAACGAUACAAAUUUCACCCAAAUCCGAUAUCGGAGCAAAGAGUUAUGGUCGAUCUACUUUAGCUUAUCAAAACAGUCCACCAAAGGACAGAUUUGACAUUAUUUAAAUUUUAAAGGCACUUUGGUCAUUCCCUAUGAUAUUAUGGACGGGAAUAUGUGUAUAUAUACAUGUAUAUGAGUUCAAAAACUCAUUUUCAUCAUCAAUCAUUGAGAAAGAACAAACCCUAGCCAAAUUUGACCGUUAAAUUACUUUUGAUUCAACCGUACAAAUUCCAAAGUAAUUCGACAACUACGUUUGUCAUCUCAAGAGCUUCAAACGGCACCUAUUAUUUGUCUAAACAGGAUUGCAUAAUCAAGUGGUGAAUUCUAAGGUAUGAAUAUUGUUUUCCUUUGUUCUUUUCCAUAUGUAUAUGUGUGAUAGAGGAUUAUAUGUAUUGGUUGUUAUUGAAAGGUGAUGAAAAUAGGGUUAUGGACUAUUUUGCAUGGUUUGGUUGUAUUGAAUUGUGGAAGGUGGAUAUGGUAAUUGAGUUAUGGAAGGUGGAUAUGGUGAUAUACUAUUGAAUUGAUGAUUAUUUAUCUCUAUGGCUCAAUUUGGUUUAAUGGAUUGGUUGGAAGGAUAAAUGAAUCCAAACUUGAUAUUGGAGGAUGUUGUAUGAAUAUGCAUGGCAUGUGAAUGUAAUUGGAGUAUAAGAGGGUUAAAGUGACACCCUUUAUGGUGUAAUUAAGGCUUACUACUUAACCACUAGUUUGGUGAAUUCAAAUAAUUGAAUUGUGACGUUUGGUCGCUAAUACUAGAUUGCUAUAUAUGUUCAUUGUAGAUAAGUAAUCCGAAAAGACGAGAAGUCCAUUUGGGACUAGUAUUGAAGGUUGACAGUCAGGUAUGUAAAGCAUACUCUAUACCAUAUCUUUGGCAUGAAAGUGAACAAUUGUUCUAGUAAGANNNNNNNNNNNNNNNNNNNNNNNNNNNNNNNNNNNNNNNNNNNNNNNNNNNNNNNNNNNNNNNNNNNNNNNNNNNNNNNNNNNNNNNNNNNNNNNNNNNNNNNNNNNNNNNNNNNNNNNNNNNNNNNNNNNNNNNNNNNNNNNNNNNNNNNNNNNNNNNNNNNNNNNNNNNNNNNNNNNNNNNNNNNNNNNNNNNNNNNNNNNNNNNNNNNNNNNNNNNNNNNNNNNNNNNNNNNNNNNNNNNNNNNNNNNNNNNNNNNNNNNNNNNNNNNNNNNNNNNNNNNNNNNNNNNNNNNNNNNNNNNNNNNNNNNNNNNNNNNNNNNNNNNNNNNNNNNNNNNNNNNNNNNNNNNNNNNNNNNNNNNNNNNNNNNNNNNNNNNNNNNNNNNNNNNNNNNNNNNNNNNNNNNNNNNNNNNNNNNNNNNNNNNNNNNNNNNNNNNNNNNNNNNNNNNNNNNNNNNNNNNNNNNNNNNNNNNNNNNNNNNNNNNNNNNNNNNNNNNNNNNNNNNNNNNNNNNNNNNNNNNNNNNNNNNNNNNNNNNNNNNNNNNNNNNNNNNNNNNNNNNNNNNNNNNNNNNNNNNNNNNNNNNNNNNNNNNNNNNNNNNNNNNNNNNNNNNNNNNNNNNNNNNNNNNNNNNNNNNNNNNNNNNNNNNNNNNNNNNNNNNNNNNNNNNNNNNNNNNNNNNNNNNNNNNNNNNNNNNNNNNNNNNNNNNNNNNNNNNNNNNNNNNNNNNNNNNNNNNNNNNNNNCACUCCUAUUAUGAUUUAUUCACUUGUUUCUGGUUUUUAUUGAGCUCCUAUAUCAUAUGUGAUUAUCUACAGCUUUACAUACUCAGUACAUAUUUCGUACUGACGUCCCCCACGGGGGACCUGCAUUUUAUGCUGCAGGCACAGGUACCUCAGCUCACAC
rnacentral:lncRNA from 1 species